rnacentral:rRNA from 1 species
GACGAACGCUGGCGGCGUGCCUAAUACAUGCAAGUAGAACGCUGAAGAGAGGAGCUUCCUCUUCUUGGAUGAGUUGCGAACGGGUGAGUAACGCGUAGGUAACCUGCCUUGUAGCGGGGGAUAACUAUUGGAAACGAUAGCUAAUACCGCAUAACAAUGGAUGACACAUGUCAUUUAUUUGAAAGGGGCAAUUGCUCCACUACAAGAUGGACCUGCGUUGUAUUAGCUAGUAGGUGAGGUAAUGGCUCACCUAGGCGACGAUACAUAGCCGACCUGAGAGGGUGAUCGGCCACACUGGGACUGAGACACGGCCCAGACUCCUACGGGAGGCAGCAGUAGGGAAUCUUCGGCAAUGGGGGCAACCCUGACCGAGCAACGCCGCGUGAGUGAAGAAGGUUUUCGGAUCGUAAAGCUCUGUUGUAAGUCAAGAACGGGUGUGGGAGUGGAAAGUUCACACUGUGACGGUAGCUUACCAGAAAGGGACGGCUAACUACGUG